rnacentral:misc_RNA from 1 species
AACUGAUACUACCUGCGGGAACCUGCGGAGGGAUCAUUACUGAGUUAGGGUCUACUCGGCCCGACCUCCCAUCCUAUGUUUACUUAAACUUAUGUUGCUUCGGCGGACCCGUCUUCGGACCGCCGGAGGGUGCUUAUACGCCCUCUGGCCUGUGCCCGCCGGCAGCCUAUUUAUUAAUUCUUGAAUAAUUCGUGUCAUUGUCUAAGUUAAAGUCUUUAAUUAAAAGCAAAACUUUCAGCA